rnacentral:tRNA from 1 species
GGCUUUAUAGUAUAAAUAUAAAAUACAUUAGAUUGCAAAUCUGAAGAUGUGGUUAACACUGGGGCUU